UNGGUGUUUUAUAAGAAUUGAGCCUUAUU
rnacentral:piRNA from 1 species